AAUGCCCGAGAGCUUUCUAAAUUUGUUGUGAUAUGAAAAGUACUCAGGACAAAGACUUGUGUUAACAAAACCUAAGAUGCAACAUAUUAUAGAAAUGUACGAGUAUUUAUUUGCAUCACGGAUGCAGAAUGAAAUGGCAGUUUGCCAUGAAUAGACGAGAAUUACGAACAAAGUUCAUACACAUAAAGAUUUCUAAGCUGCAACCAUAUGAAAGGUCUUUUUAAGGAUAAACACGAGCACCUUCUGCCUUCCGGCGACAGCGACAGCAUUCCUGCAUCUUACAGUUAACCUCUAAGCUAGUACUUCACUGCCAGAUCUACGAAACCCUGUACCCAUCUCAAAGCAAAACAGGAGCACACAGCCACAGACACUCAGACACUUUCAUGCUUAUCCAGAACAAAACAUCCGGUUUAAAGAACCCAUGAUUAUUAGUUACACUAGAUGAUUGCAAAAGACGAUUGAUUCCAUCCAGCCUAGCCAGUGAAAGCUCGCAAACAUUGCAUGGGAUCAUUGGAGCUGGCCGCAGCUUGUCUUAAAGAAUACAUAGAGGCAAAUCCACUGCCUAAAUCUUAGUAAUUACUUGUGGUGCGUCGUCUCAUCAUUCGACAUUUGACAUCACUGGCUAGGCGUACAUACAUGCACAACCGGAUCUGGUUCUCUGCCUGGAGACAUAUAUCAGUGGAUAUAUGAUUCACCAACCUCGAGUCAGUAGUGCUCCCAGACGUCAUCGAUCGAGCAGAUCGAUCAGGUAAUAGGAGGUUGAUCCCCUUUGUCGUCUCUCGAGACGGAGCCCUCGCUCUGAUAUUUAUGUAACCUGGUAAUAAAGUAACCGUCGCAAAUCCCGUGCAAUUUCCAUUUGACAUUUUCUAAUCCUGGUAUUUCUUCCACUUCCUGAAUGUUACCGGCCUAAAGCAAAAAAAAAAAGUUUCUCAAAAAAAAGCAAAAAAAAAGUGCUUUGAUUUUUUUUUACAUAAUUUUAUUUUAAAACAUGUCAAGCAUAAGUUUUAUUCCUAAGAAAUGUACACAACCAUUUAUUAAGAAAGUGUCUAGUACCAAGACCGACUCAUUAGCUUAAUAAAAACUCCAUCACAAACCUAUUGCUGUGGACUGAAAUCCACAAGCAGAUAGGAUGCAUCUUAUAACUUGUAAGGGUAAAAUGUGCCGAAUGUUACUGACAAGAAAUUAUAACAUAGCCUACGGUGUAGUACCCUGUCUCUCUACCUGAAUUUGGUUGUUAUUUCUGUGGAUUUACCAUCAUGAUUUCCGGAACAUGAUCCUUAAAAUGAUUACCCCAGACAAUCAUCCCAUGCUGAAAGAAAAUUAGUGCCACAGGACAUAGAGCACAUGAUCUGAUAGUGAUACUCCAAAGUGGUAAAAACUAUAAACAAGCAAGCUGCAGGAAGACAGCCCUACCAUAUAAAAAUCUUCACUGGUAAAAGAGAGGAACAUAUAAAGGGGGGACGCAUGUAAUAAGAUCGUAUAUGAUUAACGGAAUCAC
rnacentral:lncRNA from 1 species